rnacentral:rRNA from 1 species
AACAACGGAUCUCUUGGUUCUGGCAUCGAUGAAGAACGCAGCGAAAUGCGAUAAGUAAUGUGAAUUGCAGAAUUCAGUGAAUCAUCGAAUCUUUGAACGCACAUUGCGCCGGCAGUAAUCUGCCUGUCCGAGCGUCAUUU